rnacentral:rRNA from 1 species
AGGGUUUGAUCAUGGCUCAGGACGAACGCUGGCGGCGUGCUUAACACAUGCAAGUCGAACGGACAGACAGAGAGCUUGCUCUCUUGAAGUUAGUGGCGAACGGGUGAGUAACGCGUAAUCAACCUGCCCUUCAGAGGGGGAUAACAACGGGAAACCGUUGCUAAUACCGCGUACGAUUCAUAGGCGGCAUCGCUUGUGAAUGAAAGGUGGCCUCUAUGUAUAAGCUAUCGCUGAAGGAGGGGAUUGCGUCUGAUUAGCUAGUUGGAGGGGUAACGGCCCACCAAGGCAAUGAUCAGUAGCCGGUCUGAGAGGAUGAACGGCCACAUUGGGACUGAGACACGGCCCAAACUCCUACGGGAGGCAGCAGUGGGGAAUCUUCCGCAAUGGACGAAAGUCUGACGGAGCAACGCCGCGUGAGUGAUGAAGGUCUUCGGAUUGUAAAGCUCUGUUAAUCGGGACGAAAGAGUUCUGUGUGAAUAAUGCAGAAAAGUGACGGUACCGGAAUAGAAAGCCACGGCUAACUACGUGCCAGCAGCCGCGGUAAUACG